CUACGGGCUGCUGCAGUGGGGAAUAUUGGGCAAUGGGCGCAAGCCUGACCCAGCAACGCCGCGUGAGGGAAGAAGGUUUUCGGAUUGUAAACCUCUGUCCUUGGGGACGAAGAAGUGACGGUACCCAAGGAGGAAGCUCCGGCUAACUGACGUGCCAGCAGCGCGCGGUAAUACGUAGGGAGCAAGCGUUGUCCGGAAUUACUGGGCGUAAAGGGUGCGUAGGCGGCAUAUUAAGUCAGGUGUGAAGUACUCGGGCUCAACCCGGGGGCUGCAUUUGAAACUGCUAUGCUUGAGUGUGAGAGAGGAAAGUGGAAUUCCUAGUGUAGCGGUGGAAUGCGUAGAUAUUAGGAGGAACACCAGUGGCGAAGGCGACUUUCUGGCUCAUAACUGACGCUGAGGCACGAAAGCGUGGGGAGCAAACAGGAUUAGAUACCCGAGUAGUC
rnacentral:rRNA from 1 species